rnacentral:rRNA from 1 species
AUGUUGGCAGAAUUUGACCCAGUUAUAAAAGAACAUGUUGACCGCAUCACAAGUGAUAAAAUCCGUGAUCAUUAUCUCGGUCCUUCCAUCCAGAAUGAACUAAUAAAUUUGCUCGCUGCUGCAAUCAGGUCUGAAAUCGUUAAGAAGGUAAAAGAAGCAAAGUACUUCUCCGUUUUACUUGACUGUACUCCCGAUGCAAGCCACCAAGAGCAGAUGUCUUUGAUAAUUAGGUAUGUUGAUGCAUCUUCAGGUUCUUUUUGCAUUGAAGAAUCAUUCUUAGGUUUUUUGGAUGUGAAUGAUACCACUGGGCAAGGAUUGUUUGAUGCUCUAAAAAAUGAAUUGAAAACUCUUGACCUUGAUAUUGACAAUCUGAGAGGGCAAGGAUAUGAUAAUGGGUCAAAUAUGAAGGGAAUACAUAAAGGGGUACAAAGUGAAGUCUUGAAAAUAAAUCGGAGAGCUUUUUAUUCAGCUUGUGGUUGUCAUAGUCUGAAUUUGACAAUAUGUGAUAUGGCAAAGUCUUGUCGUAAAGCAUCCGAUUUUUUUGGAGUUAUCCGACGCAUCUACACCACAUUUGCUUACUCUACUAAAAGAUGGCAAAUUCUCAAAAAUAACAUAUCAGGAGUGACUCUCAAGUCAUUGUCAUCUACUAGGUGGGAGAGUCGUGUUGAUAGUGUUAAGGCUAUAAGGAUUCAACUACCAGAAAUAAGGGAGGCUCUACUACAAGUGGCUGAAAUUGAUAAAGAUCCAUCGACAAGUAGUGAAGCUCAAUCAUUGGCAGAAAAUAAUCUUUCUGACUUUGAAUUCUUAGUGUCAAUAAUAAUAUGGUAUGAAAUAUUAUUAGCUGUUAAUUUGAUCAGCAAAGAGUUGCAGUCAAAGGAUAUGCUUAUUGAUAUUGCUAUUGAGUCUGUAAAGGGCUUGAUUUCUUUCUUCACUAAGUAUAGAGAAUCUGGCUUUUCAAAAGCAUUGGAAGCUGCAAAAGAAAUUGCAAAGGAGAUGGAUAUUAAUCCAGAGUUCCGCACCAAGCGUAAAAUCAAGAGAAAAAGGCAAUUUGGUGAGGGUGCAGAUGAUCCAUCUAUUGUUUCACAAUCAGCAGAGGAGUCAUUUAGGGUCAAUUAUUUUCUGCAUAUUGUUGAUCAAGCUAUAGUUUCACUUAACACGAGAUUUGAACAGUAUGAGGGGUAUGAAAAAAUAUUUGGUUUCUUGUUUACUUCAGAUAGGUUGCGAUCCUUGGAUGACAAGAGUUUAUUGGCUGCGUGUGUUAAUCUUGAAGAUGCACUUAAGAGCGGAGAACAUAAAGAUAUUGAUGGACUUGAAUUGUGUAGCGAGCUACUUUUUCUGCAGGGCUCACUUCAGAAAUCUAUGGGCCCACUUGAUAUUCUGAACUUUUUGAAGAAGCGUUCCUUAAUCUAUCCUAAUGCUGUUAUCGCAUACAGAAUUUUGUUAACCAUUCCUGUGACAGUUGCAUCUGCGGAAAGGAGCUUUUCUAAACUCAAGUUGUUGAAAUCCUACUUGCGUUCUACAAUGACACAAGAAAGACUGAAUGGAUUGGCAACAAUAGCACUUGAAAAUGAUGUCUUGGAGAAGAUUAAUUAUGAAGAUUUGAUCGAAGAUUUCAUAUCAAGAAAUACUUGA